rnacentral:rRNA from 1 species
UACGUAGGGGGCAAGCGUUGUCCGGAUUUAUUGGGCGUAAAGAGCGUGUAGGCGGCUUUACAGGUCCGUUGUGAAAACUCGAGGCUCAACCUCGAGACGCCGGUGGAAACCGUAAAGCUAGAGUCCGGAAGAGGAGAGUGGAAUUCCUGGUGUAGCGGUGAAAUGCGCAGAUAUCAGGAGGAACACCAAUGGCGAAGGCAGCACUCUGGGACGUGACUGACGCUGAGACGCGAAAGCGUGGGGAGCAAACAGG